rnacentral:misc_RNA from 1 species
GAUGAAGAACGCAGUGAAAUGCGAUAAUUAAUGUGAAUUGCAGAAUUCAGUGAAUCAUCGAAUCUUUGAACGCACAUUGCGCCCCUUGGUAUUCCGGGGGGCAUGCCUGUUCGAGCGUCAUUAUAACCCCUCAAGCUCAGCUUGGUUUUGGGGCCUGCCAACUGGCAGCCCUUAAAAUCAGUGGCGGCGCCAUCUGGCUCUAAGCGUAGUAAUUUCUCUCGCUAUAGGGUCCCGGUGGAUGCUGGCCAGCAACCCCCAAUUUUCUAUGGUUGACCUCGGAUCAGGUAGGGAUACCCGCUGAACUUAAGCAUAUCAAUAAGCGGAGGA